AUUCGAAAAGGCACUGUUCAGCGGAACAAGAUAAAAUCUUCUGUGGGUGGUUAGUGGUGUAGCUAGAAACAUCAACAAGAGCUUGCUGCUACAUGUUUUGAGCAACAAAAGCCCUUCAAUCCAGUGCUUGGAGAAAGCAUGAGAGGAUAUUUGUUCAAGUCAUAAGCUUGGUUUCUCUGGCAUUUGCCCAUUCGGCAAUGUUCAUUAGUAUACUACAGAAGCCCUCAUAUCACUGGUGUUAUCAGCAGUAAAUGUAAGAGAGAACAGUUUGUUACUCUUGUAUACCUGUACAUACAUAUCAUAUGGAGGAGAUAGAUUCAAACAGGAGUGAGAGCUGAUGAUAAUCCACAAUUAUAUGAUGCAAACUAGUGGUACAAUAUGUUUUUCAUUUGAUUCAGGACAAAAAACUUAAAUACGAAUAUCCUCACUUCAUAGACGCUUCCGAUGCAUCAUAGUUUUGCAUUGGUGCUCGACCGCUAGUUGCUCACGUUAGGGCAUUUGAGUGUAACAUAAUGUCUCUCCGGUGUUGUUACUAGGUCGGCUGGGUGAGCAAAAUUCUUUCGCGAUAGGUGCGUAUUAGAUGCUAGUGCAGUGUAAUUAAGAACUGAACAUUGUACAUGGAAGCUCAUGUUCCAAGUGAUAGUAAAAUAAAAGGCACGC
rnacentral:sRNA from 1 species